AUUGAACGCUGGCGGCAUGCCUUACACAUGCAAGUCGAACGGUAACGCGGGGCAACCUGGCGACGAGUGGCGAACGGGUGAGUAAUGCAUCGGAACGUGCCCAGUAGUGGGGGAUAGCCCGGCGAAAGCCGGAUUAAUACCGCAUACGACCUACGGGUGAAAGCGGGGGACUCGCAAGAGCCUCGCGCUAUUGGAGCGGCCGAUGUCAGAUUAGGUAGUUGGUGGGGUAAAAGCCUACCAAGCCGACGAUCUGUAGCUGGUCUGAGAGGACGACCAGCCACACUGGGACUGAGACACGGCCCAGACUCCUACGGGAGGCAGCAGUGGGGAAUUUUGGACAAUGGGCGCAAGCCUGAUCCAGCCAUGCCGCGUG
rnacentral:rRNA from 1 species